AUUUUUCGAUUUUCCCAACUUGGUCACACUGUGUGCCGAAGUGCAAGCAUUUAUAAAAAAUGUAAUCAAAUUUAUAUAUUAUAUGCACAACAAGCUUCGAUAUUAACAAUUCCAUAGCGACAAUUAGUCGAACGCGCCCGUUUUGCUUUGUGUGCGGUCGGAUGUCUCUGGCUGGGUUGGCCAGGGCGGCGCCUACUUCGGCAUCAAGCGCACCCUGCUCGAUGGCCAAGGCCAUGAAGGAGAAACGUUGCGCGGAUGCUGUCAAGUUGCGUGGUCGCUCGUUUGAGCGCAAUCUGGAGACAUACAAGAUGUUCAUAUGCUUGAAGCCGCCAAAGGAGUGCUUCGAUGCCGACGGCAAGGGCCAAGGGCCACACGCCUGAGCAGCUGCGUCGCGAGGCUUCUGUGAAUGUCCACUCCUGCUGCGUGGUCCCAUGUGGGCCGGCCUGCUGGAAGUGGUGCCCAAUGGCAGCUACUCCAAGAUAGACCCACUGUCUCAUUGCGGGCAAUGUACGUGAGCUGGGAUGGUGAGUCCAAAACUCAGCCUACGAGCAGGAGGGUAUGUACAUCACCGUCGCGGAGGAGUGUGAUACCGAUGCCGUCGCCUAAACAGGUGUAUAAUAUAUUUAAUCUAUUGCAGUCAACAUAUCGUCGCCCACUUUGUGGUCAGCAACCAAUUCCAGUACAGUCUCCGUCUUUCUUUUGCAUUUGCCUCCAGCGCAGACCGCUGCGACUUCAGUUCCGCCGGCAAGCGGGAAUGCUCCUCCACAGACGCCUCGCCGCAUUUCCGCACAGCUUGCCAAAGAGAUUAAAUUGAAGUAUCGUGCGCCUGUGGUGGGAAUUUCCAUUUUCGACCAGACAGGCUGCCCUGUAGAUCAGUUGAACGCCGGAGAAAUCGGAACACCUCCACAUCGCCUUCUUAUCGCUUCCGAAGAGCAAUUUAAAGUCUUUUCAUUACCGCAAUUGAAGCCGAUCAAUAAGUAUAAGCUAACCGCCCACGAGGGUGCUCGCAUUCGAUGCAUCUGCUUCGGAUCAUUUAAUUGCCCCAUAUCGCCGGAGUUGUUGCUAAGUCUUCACGCCAGCAGCUCCACCAAGUCCACCCGAUCACAUGGCGAUGGAGAUGGGCCUGCCAAUAUCAGCGGAAGGUCGGCUGUUGGGCGUAAAGAAUUAUUAAUCGGAUAUUAAUAUUUUCAACCGAAUGGACUUGAAAUCUAAAAGCAAUACUAAGGAAACAAGCACUUGUUCGGUGGUAAUAAAAUCAAUUAUUACAAGCAUAUUACACAAAAAGACAACAAAGAGAGCGAAAUAAGAACGACGAUAACGACAGCACACGAAGAAAGUGCAUUUUAAUAUUAAAAUUAUUAGUUUAACUACCAAAAAAAUAAUAUGAGCUCAAAAAAAUAGCAAGUGAAAAAGACCCGCCAUUUAAACAGAUAUUUUAAUCUUAAAAAUAUGGUAUAUUCUAUAUGAAUUUUAAGGAAAUUGUUUUGUAAUCAAUUCCUUUUGCCUUGGGCUUGACUAUCUAAACAUAAGAAAUAUAUAAGUAAAUUAAGUACAAUUAUUAUACAUAUAACUAUUGAUGAAUGGCCCGAUAUGUGGUGCACAUUUAACCUUUUUCAUUCAAUGUGCCUUUAAUUUAACUGUUAUUUUCUUGAUAAAGGGCGUUUAUCAUUUA